rnacentral:lncRNA from 1 species
UUCUGGAUGCGUGUAUUGAAUGCAGUUGGUCAAGGUGGUCAAGGUGCUGCUGGAGGCGGUCAAGGUGUUUGAGGAUGUGAUUCUGCUGGAGGAACCUAACUGUGCUUUGGUGGUUAAAUUUCUGAUUUGACUUACUUUUAUGAACUUUUAGUUUGUUUUACUGUGGUUGUGCGCCUCUUACUUUAUAAUUAAGUAAUGACUAUAAUUCUGAACUUAUAUUGAAUGUUUGAACUUGAUCUUAUAAUUCUUGCAAUCCGAUAUUUUAUGUUAUGAAUGUGAGAUUGACUUUCCUUUGAAUGAUAUUAUUUAUAGUA